ACGGGAGACACACGGCGGGUGCUAACGUCCGUCGUGAAGAGGGAAACAACCCAGACCGCCAGCUAAGGUCCCAAAGUCAUGGUUAAGUGGGAAACGAUGUGGGAAGGCCCAGACAGCCAGGAUGUUGGCUUAGAAGCAGCCAUCAUUUAAAGAAAGCGUAAUAGCUCACUGGUCGAGUCGGCCUGCGCGGAAGAUGUAACGGGGCUAAACCAUGCAC
rnacentral:rRNA from 2 species